CGUGUGGCGACUGCGCACCAAUCUCGCUGCAUAUCUUCGUCCAUAAAUACAGCCCCCGAGCGAGCCGAGCCUCCAAGCCAAGUCAAGUAGUACAAACAAAGCUCUCUAUCACGAAUUCGAUCAGGAUCAUCCUCCAUCAGUCGAGGCUCGAGAGUGCGUGCUUCAGUUCAACAGGUCCUCACUACGAGAAUGAGCUCCUCGGACGACGCCUGCGGCAAGAAGGCGUCGUGGCCGGAGCUGGUUGGCAAGUCCAUCGAGGAGGCCAAGAAGAUCAUCAUGAAGGACAGGCCGGACGUGAAGAUCAUCGAGGUCUUCCCGGUCGGCACCGCCGUGACCGAGGACUUCAGGCCCGACCGUGUCCGCAUCUUCGUCGACACCGUCGCGGAGACCCCCCGCAUUGGCUAGCUUUGAUUCAUGCUCCACCGUUUUAUGUGUGUGCGUGUGUUUGUGUGUGUUAUAUUCCUGAAUAAACCAUAGCUAGUGACUAGUGAGUAGUGCCAUGUAUGCAUACUACUCCUAGCUAUGUCGAUCGCCAUGUAAGAAUUAAUAAUUAAUAAAGUUUUUUAUGGGAAAUAAUUAAGGUUGA